UACGUAGGGGGCUAGCGUUGUCCGGAUUUAUUGGGCGUAAAGAGCGUGUAGGCGGCCAGGUAGGUCCGGUGAAAACUCGAGGCUUAACCUCGAGAUGUCAUCGGAAACCAUCUGGCUAGAGUCCGGAAGAGGAAAGUGGAAUUCCUGGUGUAGCGGUGAAAUGCGCAGAUAUCAGGAAGAACACCAAUGGCGAAAGCAGCUUUCUGGGACGGUACUGACGCUGAGACGCGAAAGCGUGGGGAGCGAACAGG
rnacentral:rRNA from 1 species